UGUGUGUGUGUGUGUGUGUGUGUGUGUGUGUGUGUGUGUGUGUGUGUGUGUGUGUGUGUGUGUGUGUGUGUGUGUGUGUGUGUGUGUGUGUGUGUGUGUGUGUGUGUGUGUGUGUGUGUGUGUGCUGCGUCUAUGGAAAUACGAAGUCAAUACUUGGUGAUGA